rnacentral:lncRNA from 1 species
AGCUUUGUGCAAUUACCACAAGGGCUUAAAAAGUAAUAUUCACUGCACCUGAGGAGCUUAUAAUCUAAUGGGGAAGAAAAGAUAGAGAUCGCAGGAACUGUAGCCAGCACUUUGAACUGAACCUGUGCAGAGUUGGGAGACAGCAGCAAGAGUUAGAGAAGGAAAGCCACCUUGGAGGCACUGGGCUAAUUGAUGUAUGUGCAUUAUCUCCAUCAAUCCUCACAUCAACUCUAUCAAGCAACUAUGAUUACUGCCCCAUUUUACAGAUAUACAAUCUAGGUGGUUCUUUUCCUGGCCUUACCAGGAAUCACUGAUGUGGUUGCUGUUGCUGAUGGCCCCAUUGGAACUGGAGGUUCCCAGAGGGCCUCAAUCACAUAUUUGGCAGCUGGAGCCAAUGGAGGUACUUCAGUUCUCUUAUCUGUGGCCUUUUAACCUUCACUAUGCUGGACCGACCUUCACAGCAUGAUGGCCUCAGGAAUCUAAGACAGUGAAGGUGGAAACUGCAAGGACCCUGAGAUGACAAGCUACUCAAGAGUAACCACUUCAAGCGGGGCCAUCCAGGAGAACUGUGUUGUUCUGUGACAUAAAUGAACUAAACUUUGAUAGUGAGUCGCUUUCCACUAAGGUUUUACGAAGGAGAUUUUGGUCUUGCGUUCACUCCUGAGGUGUCCAUCCUGCUUCUACACUGUUCCCUGGCUCAUGCCUGCUUCUUUCCAGUCUGUCUUGAGGUAUCAUUCUCAUUUGGGGAUCACUAUAUUUCUCCAAUAUGGUACUGCUGCCAUCACAUGCUGGCCUCAGUGGAGACGUAAUACAAGAAAAGAACUCAAUGCUCCACACCAAGAACAAUACUGUUAAAAGAAACUCAAAGAAGAAAAUGAUGACUUCAAGUCAAAGUAGAGAAAGGAAUGAAUGUAUACUUGUCAUUCUGUGUGUUAAAGAACAAGGAAAGGGGCACUUGCUUGUUGACAGACUGGUCUGAAAUAUAUUUCCUAUGGAAGAAUGAAGGAAGAUGUCUGGAAUGCUCUCCCAGGAAGGAUUCAGUCCUUUCCCUGAGGUCUCGCCAGCUUCUCUGGCUGGUCUGGUUCCAGCAUCUCCUCCCCUGGCUAAAACCUACUUUGACUCUUGGCGAGAAUGUCAUUAGCAGAGGGGAGACAAACUUAGUCUGACAGAUUUUAGAGUUAACGGUGCCAUUAGAAUAGCUGUCAAAGUAAACCCUGCCAGAAUUCAUGGCACUCAUGAAACAAAGAGAGUAAUUUGUUCAAAAUCUUAUUAUCCCAGGAGCGUGUAUAUUAGGAAAAGGAAGAUGAGGUGCUGCUUAAUGUUCCUUGUAACUAAGUAUAUCUCUUCCCCUAAUUCUAACUCACGGCCAUAAGAAAGGAGUUGACUUUCAACUGAAAUGGGCAGCAGGCUGUUCUUUGAUGGGGAAAAUAAACAAUAACAUAUCUUU